rnacentral:rRNA from 1 species
AUUGAACGCUGGCGGCGUGCCUAAUACAUGCAAGUCGAGCGGACCGAUGGGAGCUUGCUCCCUUAGGUCAGCGGCGGACGGGUGAGUAACACGUGGGUAACCUGCCUGUAAGACUGGGAUAACUCCGGGAAACCGGGGCUAAUACCGGAUGCUUGAUUGAACCGCAUGGUUCAAUCAUAAAAGGUGGCUUUUAGCUACCACUUACAGAUGGACCCGCGGCGCAUUAGCUAGUUGGUGAGGUAACGGCUCACCAAGGCGACGAUGCGUAGCCGACCUGGGAGGGUGAUCGGCCAAACUGGGACUGAGAAACGGCCCAGACUCCUACGGGAGGCAGCAGUAGGGAAUCUUCCGCAAUGGACGAAAGUCUGACGGAGCAACGCCGCGUGAGUGAUGAAGGUUUUCGGAUCGUAAAACUCUGUUGUUAGGGAAGAACAAGUACCGUUCGAAUAGGGCGGUACCUUGACGGUACCUAACCAGAAAGCCACGGCUAACUACGUGCCAGCCGCCGCCGUAAGAC